AUUUGGUGGUCCUUAAAAGAACCUUUAAUUUUGUCUUUAUCUUUUUCAGAUGUAGAUGGAUGCAGCUAUGUCUUCUUUGACUUUGGAAUUUUUGAAGUACAGCUUCUGGUUGGUUAACUUGUUUGCACCCAAGUACAUGGAUCUCAGCCACCAACAGUUUGUGUGACCACCACCACACACGUAUGAGCUAGUGGGACAUUUAGAGCAGUCGCCGGUAUAACACCGCACAGUAGCAUCAAGCACUCUAGAACCUUCAAACAUUUUGGCUGUGGACGUAAUAACUUGGCAGAUCCAGGAUUUCCCUCGACAUCUGGUAAACUGUAGGAGGUGCCGUCUUGACCGGAUUUAGCUACAAGUGAGAACUUCUCUGCAUCUAGCCUCUUCCAUUGUGUAUUAGAUGAACUUGGCUGACUGUUUGAAGACUGUGUUUCAUGCUUUAUUCCCUUGUUAUGGGGUCUGUUACCCGCUUUGAAGCAAGAUUUACGUCGAUUUUUGCCACCUUUCAUGUUAAUUUACAGUACCAUUGACUGAUAAUUUAUGAUGUUCUACAUUUUCUUGCAUUAUUUAUAUCACUGGAAGAUGCUGUCAGCUUCCUUGACACAAUUUUGCCACUAAUUGCUGACAGUGACACUUUUAUGGGGAUUUACAGGUGCUGGACAGUGUAUUCUAAGAGAUCAUGUGUGUGUACAGUAGGGCUUACAUUUUAUUGGAUUACCACUAAUUGCAUUACCAUGUAAACUACUGCUUUUCAUAUAUGAUAAGGAACUUAU